AAGAGAGUUCCUUUUCUUGGUGUGAUUCUUGACGGAAAUACAGAUCUAUUGAAGACCCUCAACAGAACCCUUGACAACCAGGAGUGACUCAAGAAAGGUACCUUGGAGUAAAAGCACUCCGGACUCCAAAUCUACAGGGCCAUUGCUUACAACAGCAAAUUGAGCAAAUGGGAAAUUGGGAUUAUAUUAUUCCUUGACCAUUGGCCAUGCUUGCUGGGUCAUGAUGGGAGCUGAAGUUCAAAACACCUGGUGGGCACCAAGUUGGGGAAGGGUGCGUUAUGGGAACUGAGCCUGCACAAUGUUGUGGCUAAGACUGUGAGCCAGGAAGUCCCAAGUGCCCUGGGUGCUGCUAUUACCCACCAGCAGUAUGAGAAUAAAACACAGACUGACCCUACAGCGUCGCUGCAAAGCAGGAGUGGCCCUUCAGAAGUCAUUGGAAUGCAGCUCCCAUCAGCUCUGGUCAGCACAUGUCCAGGGAUGAUGAAAGCUACCCACCAACAUCCACAGGUUCCCCAGCCCUCUUCUUACUGAAUGAAGCACUUUGCAUUCUUUUUAAAAGGUGCUUACUUUUUAUUUUAUUUAUUUUUUUGUAUAAUUUUUUUAUUAAGUCUUACUGCAUUUCUACUUGCAGAGCCCAAGCAUAAUUUAUCCAAGCCUGGUACAAAUUUGUCAACCAGCCCCUACCUCUGUCUGGAGGAUUUAUGGGUGUCCAGCAGCUUCUUUCUGUCUCUUUGUUUAAAUUCCUGACAUUGCUAAAUGCCUGGUGUGUGUUUAUAGCCAGACAUGGCAGUAUAGCAUGUAUGUAUAUUAACUAUAGAUGCGUGACAAACAUCCUUUAGGCGAUUGUUCUCUAUCCCUGGGAGCUAGUGCCAGUUCUCCUAUGCACUCUGAAGACGAGAGGCCUUGAUGGUUUACUGGGACCUGCAAAGCCCAUCAGCAGCUCCAGCUCUCGUUUUCUCUGGGAUUCAAAUAGCUCUGUUCUCUUAAAAGCCUUUCACGAUUAUUCUGUUUGUCAAUGCUUGUUCCCAACAUCUGUGCUCCUUUGGCAUAACGCCCGUGAAAGGGAGUCUAAGUGCACACAGCUGUGUACCACAUAUGCAUUCAACUUUACAGGUAUCACACAAAUGUGAAGAUAUUGCAGGGAGGGACUGGUGGGGUGUGUAACAUCAGGGCCUGAAGGUGCGGUUUGGCUUCCUCCUCUAUGCAGAGGGGAAAAUAACAUGUGGAGAGCAGCAUGGGAAUAGGGUACAUAUCCCUGAUUAUUAGGGUGCUUGUCCCUUCCUUCUGCUGUAAUCUGCUGCCACACUUUGUUGGUUCCUUUGUACUGCACACGGGAAAUGCCAGAGGUCUGAGACUUGUAGUUUUUGAGGGAGCAUGUUGCACAAGCAGACACACAUAACUUGAGGUUGGCACAACCAUUAGGUGGAGUGAGGCUGCCACCUCAGGCAGUGCUCCCAUGGGUGCCCCACCACUUCUGCUGCUGGCAGAGAAGUGGUAUCCCUCUCUCCCCCUAAUCUCCCCUCCUCUCCAGCUGUCCAUGCAAACAGACUGGAAGGGAAGUAUAGGCUCCCACUGUUGGUUCCCCUGCUGCUUAACCUCAUGCCUACUCUUGUUUACCUCUGGGUAGGCUGUCAAUGGAUCAGUGAAGAGGCAUGAUGCCACUUCUGAUGUUUCGUUACAGUGCAUAUUAGCCAAAACUACAUAAGGCAACUGCCCAUUUACAGAGGGGUUUCAUUCCAAGGCACCACAUGUUUAAGUGAAAUCACAUAUAUUGGGAACACCAUUGAAAAAACCUGCAAAAACCCUCUAAAUCACUGGAAACCCUUGAAAAACACAAAAAUCCACCCAACUCCACUGCAAUCGUUCUCGGCAAACCUCAUUUCUCAAACUCCAACUCCUCAAAGGCCUCAAAGGUUGGUGCAAAGGAUCCUGGGAUUGCACUUGCGAAGACUCAUGGGAUUGCUAGACAGUUUUCACAACCUUCUUCCAUUUUCACAUUCUUUUAGGACCGUUUUUGCCCCUUUUCCUGCCACUUCUGUGUUCGUGGUGAUGUCUGUGUGUAUGGUCAUGCAUGCCUUGAAUGUGCAUAAAUGCGGAGUUGCCUGUACAAAAAACCGUGGCUCUUAGGAAAAAUUCAUACUAAAAUACUGACAAAGUCUCAAGAUGAUUUUUCAAAGGGAAAAAGAACCACAAAUUGCUGUGGAAAUGUAGAGAACUCAAUGUAAGAUCAGAAAAGGAAAACCUAGAGAACCAAAAUGGACAAGUCUAUCUCUAUAAGCAGGAGUCAAUCAAAGCAGACUGCGCAGCACCAGGGCUUGUUGAUCCACAGCCAGGACCCUCAUGGGUGCCUUCUCCCAGGCCUGAGAAGCCAGGUGACUCCCACACCAGUCCAACGGUGCAUCGAGUGUACCAGGCAGGUGGCCAUGGCCUGGAGGAGGCCAGGGAGUGGAGAAGUGCCUGCCCCUUCAAGAGGAUCUUGAAAACACAGCAGCACAUAGGAAGGG